GGAGGGGCGUGUCCUGUUUUUUAAAAAUAAUUUAUGGUCAUUCCAUAAGACACCAUCUAGUUUAUCCUACAUUCCAUUCAAAACCUCUGCAAAUUCAGAUCAGCCAGUUGGACCAUAGCAAAGAGGAUGUUCCAAACAUCAGGAAAUCCUAGCCCAGUGUCUUGCUUUGGAAGAGGUCAAACAGAAGCCCUGCUAAUGACACAAGAAAUACCAAAACCCAUGUUAGCUGCUUCUUCAUAAGCAAAGAACAAAGGAAAAAUAUUCAGUUCUUCCAUCCAUAUUCUCUGCACUCAUGGACUAAUUGAAACCAGAAAGAAGCUUGAAACAGAAGAAUCUUCUCCCCUACCCUAAUUCUGUGCACCCUGUUGAUGCUCGAUAAAGAUUUCUACAUUGAUUAACUGAUU